rnacentral:rRNA from 1 species
UACGUAGGGGGCGAGCGUUGUCCGGAUUUAUUGGGCGUAAAGAGCUCGUAGGCGGUUUGGCAAGUCGGGUGUGAAAACUCCGGCUCAACUCGGAGACGCCACUCGAUACUGCCAUGACUCGAGUCCGGUAGGGGAGUGCGGAAUUCCUGGUGUAGCGGUGAAAUGCGCAGAUAUCAGGAGGAACACCGGUGGCGAAGGCGGAUCUCUGGGCCAUUACUGACGCUGAGGAGCGAAAGCGUGGGGAGCGAACAGG